rnacentral:rRNA from 1 species
AGAGUUUGAUCAUGGCUCAGAACGAACGCUGGCGGCGUGCUUAACACAUGCAAGUCGAACGCGAAAGUUUUCUUCGGAAGACGAGUAGAGUGGCGCACGGGUGAGUAACGCGUAAAUAAUCUACCCCUGCAUCUGGGAUAACCCACCGAAAGGUGUGCUAAUACCGGAUACGUUCUUUUAACCGCGAGGUUUUAAGAAGAAAGGUGGCCUCUGAUAUAAGCUACUGUGCGGGGAGGAGUUUGCGUACCAUUAGCUAGUUGGUAGGGUAAUGGCCUACCAAGGCAUCGAUGGUUAGCGGGUCUGAGAGGAUGAUCCGCCACACUGGAACUGGAACACGGACCAGACUCCUACGGGAGGCAGCAGUGAGGAAUAUUGCGCAAUGGGGGCAACCCUGACGCAGCGACGCCGCGUGGAUGAUGAAGGCCUUCGGGUCGUAAAAUCCUGUCAGAUGGAAAGAAGUGCAUAUGGAUUAAUAAUUCAUAUGUUUGACGGUACCAUCAAAGGAAGCACCGGCUAACUCCGUGCCAGUAGCCGCGGUAAUACGGAGGGUGCAAGCGUUGUUCGGAAUUACUGGGCGUAAAGCGCGCGUAGGUGGUCUGUUAUGUCAGAUGUGAAAGUCCACGGCUCAACCGUGGAAGUGCAUUUGAAACUGGCGGACUUGAGUACUGGAGGGGGUAGUGGAAUUCCCGGUGUAGAGGU